CAGCCGCCGCGGGAACACGUAGGUGGCAAGCGUUGCCCGGAAUUAUUGGGCGUAAAGGGCUCGCAGGCGGUUUCUUAAGUCUGAUGUGAAAGCCCCCGGCUCAACCGGGGAGGGUCAUUGGAAACUGGGAAACUUGAGUGCAGAAGAGGAGAGUGGAAUUCCACGUGUAGCGGUGAAAUGCGUAGAGAUGUGGAGGAACACCAGUGGCGAAGGCGACUCUCUGGUCUGUAACUGACGCUGAGGAGCGAAAGCGUGGGGAGCGAACAGGAUUAGAUACCCCCGUAGUCCCUGUCUCUUAUAC
rnacentral:rRNA from 1 species